UCUAUUAUGGCAGAUUAGUGCAAUAAAUUUAAGAUUUAUGAAAAAAAAUUUUUAUAAAUAUAUUUUUUAAUAGAA
rnacentral:tRNA from 1 species